UACAGAGGUCUCAAGCGUUGUUCGGAUUCAUUGGGCGUAAAGGGCGCGUAGGCGGCCCGCUAAGUCGAACGUGAAAUCCCCGAGCUCAACUCGGGAACUGCGUCCGAUACUGGCGGGCUUGAAUCCGGGAGAGGGAUGCGGAAUUCCAGGUGUAGCGGUGAAAUGCGUAGAUAUCUGGAGGAACACCGGUGGCGAAGGCGGCAUCCUGGACCGGCAUUGACGCUGAGGCGCGAAAGCUAGGGGAGCAAACGGG
rnacentral:rRNA from 1 species